AAUCAUCAAUCAAACAAAAAAUAAUAAUAAUAAAUAAAUAAAUAGAGGAAAGGAAGAGGGAAGGUUUUCCUGUUGCCAUGCCCUCUUCUCUUUUUCUUCUCGCCAGCUGGACCAAUUUCCAGUGGGAUCAAGCUCCGGCCACCACCGAGACCAGCCAUCGGUGAAGAACCGGCGAUUCCCAUCCGGAUCUAAAGAUCCAAGCAAACAAAAAAAAGAUAAAAGGGAGAAGAAGAAGUACGGAUCUCCCUGUGGCCGUCCCCUCUUCUCUACUUUUUCUCAUCCGCAUGAUGGGAUCAGUCGCCGGCGUGGUGGGAUCAAGUUCCAACGGCCACCGAGAUAAGCGCGCCGGCGGUGAGGGCCGGUGGUUCCUGCCGGAUCCAAAGAGCUAACAAAAAAAAAAGACACACAAAGAAAAGGGAGAGGCGGCGGUUCGGCCGUUCGGGCAGGCAGCGGCAAUCUCGACGGGCGGUGGUGGCGGGUGCCAGUUCUCCUCCUUCUUCCAAAGAACAAAAGUAAAUAAAUAAAUUUGGGAACCGUAGGCUCUCAUCUCUACCGACGGUGGGCCGAAGGAGCUAGGCGGAGAAAGGCUGACGGUCGGCCUAUCGAGGCUUCCCACCGGGCAACGGACCGGAGAGGAG
rnacentral:lncRNA from 1 species